UACGAAGGGUGCAAACGUUGCUCGGAAUUAUUGGGCGUAAAGCGCACGUAGGCGGCUUGGCAAGUCGGAUGUGAAAUCCCUCGGCUCAACCAAGGAAGUGCAUCCGAAACUGCUAAGCUUGAGUACUUAAGAGGAUCGCGGAAUUCCCGGUGUAGAGGUGAAAUUCGUAGAUAUCGGGAGGAACACCAGUGGCGAAGGUGGCGAUCUGGGAAGAUACUGACGCUGAGGUGCGAAAGCGUGGGGAGCAAACAGG
rnacentral:rRNA from 1 species